UGAGGACAACACAAGACCACUUAAUUGGGCCAAGUGGAGCGCACCAAUUGAAGGUAACAUGCAAGGUGGCGUGAGGAACCAAAGUGAAUCCAUGCAUGAGAAUGUAAACCAAGCAUGCAGCGUGAAGGAAUUAAGCCAAGGGAAAUGAGGCGCAUGGCCUUGACAAGUGGUCAUUGCAUGUGGGACUUGCCAAGUGGCUUUGAGGAAGGCACGGCAAGUGGAGCAAGAGGGCAAUUUGCAUGGCCAACCUCUUCAUUCAUGCAGCGUGAACUUGGUGGGAGGAAUUAUCCCGCCCAAUGGAAGACCACUUGGUGGGACCCAAGUGGUUGCCGCCCAAAACAUUUUCCAUGGCAUUUUGAAAUGCUCACGCGGGAGCUAGGUGUCAAGCCGCAGCCGGUCCUCAUGUCCUUCCCCUAAUACUUUAAUUGUGUAAUUUAAAGUGUUUUAAAUUCAGCCACUCAAUGGCCAUCAUGGGCAGCCGGCCAAAACAUUUGUAUAUAAGGGAGUUGUCCCUUGUUUAUGUAGAUAGAGAGAGUGAGUUUGAGUGAGCGG
rnacentral:misc_RNA from 1 species